GACGAACGCUGGCGGCGUGCUUAACACAUGCAAGUCGAACGAUGAAGCCGGAGCUUGCUCUGGUGAAUUAGUGGCGAACGGGUGAGUAACACGUGAGUAACCUGCCCUUGACUCUGGGAUAACUGCGGGAAACUGUAGCUAAUACCGGAUACGACCCUCGGAGGCAUCUCCUGGGGGUGGAAAGAAUUUCGGUCAAGGAUGGACUCGCGGCCUAUCAGCUAGUUGGUGAGGUAAAGGCUCACCAAGGCGACGACGGGUAGCCGGCCUGAGGGGGGAACCGGCCACACUGGGACUGAGACACGGCCCAGACUCCUACGGGAGGCAGCAGUGGGGAAUAUUGCACAAUGGGCGCAAGCCUGAUGCAGCAACGCCGCGUGAGGGAUGACGGCCUUCGGGUUGUAAACCUCUUUUAGCAGGGAAGAAGCGAAAGUGACGCUACCUGCAGAAAAAGCACCGGCUAACUACGUGCCAGCAGCCGCCGUAA
rnacentral:rRNA from 1 species